CACACCUGAGUCACUGAAGUUUCCUCUGCAGCUGUGUGUGCUGUUAUGUGCACAACUGGGCUAAGGAAGGAUCAAACCUCUUUUCCCAGGGACUGGGAAUGUCCAUCAGCUCUGCUAAAUUGGCAUCAGGUGUGUAGGAUGUUCCCUUUUCCACUCUUGUGCUGCCAAACUCUACAUGGAGUUCAGCUCUCCUGAUUUCAAAUCCCAGAUCCUCUUUUGAAACCACCCUAGUCACCACCAGGAUGAACAAAUUCCUCUCACUAAAUCAUCAAAGAACGAACCCAUCAGAAACAAAUGUGUCAUUUUCUGCCAGCUUAAGGAGCUGAAUCAUCUCAUCACAGAACCUGAUGAGUGCCAGUGCCAAGCAAGGAAGUAUAGCCAAGAGAGGAGAAAGUAGUUGGACGGCAUCUUUUGGCAGAUCCAGGCUGCAAAAUCUCUCCUUCUGCUAAAAUUGCUUACUCAAAGUAAAUCUGCAUCAGAAGAGGUGUAAUCUAGGUUUUGGUUCGUUCAUCCUCUCUAGACCAGCUUUGCUGUCAGCCAUCAUGUCAGC
rnacentral:lncRNA from 1 species